CGCGACCCCAGGUCAGGCGGGAUC
rnacentral:rRNA from 1 species